ensembl:lncRNA
AUGCCCUGGAGUGAGAAGCUGGGGCUGGGCAGCCCUGGGGCACCGGGCCCGCCCCCCCCGCCCCGCGGCUGCCCCCGCCCGCAGCAUCGCGGCACCUCGAGGGCUUCAAGGCUGCUGGGCCGCCCACUCCGACAGCCCGAAAUAGACCCUUCCUUUCCCGGCCCUUUCCUGAGCCUUUCCCGGUCCUUCUCCGGCUCUUCCCAGAGGAGCCAGCGGCACAUGGGGGCGGGCAGGGUGGAACCAUCCCGGCGGGGGAGCCCCGAAAGUCGAAGAUCUGCCCGUCGCGGACCCUCGGUCCCGGGGACAGAGAAACGACGGGGGAAGCGGGGACACCAUGUGUCCGUCCCCCACUAUGGGGUCUCCGCUUCCCCUCCCCCGAAACGCAUUCAGUCCUCAGGGUUGUGUGCGAACCCGGCGGCCGAGCCGGCCGCGAACGCCCCGAGAGCCCUGGGAGCCCCUGGAGCCCCGACCGCCGCACCCAAGAGCCCCGCACAGCCUCUCCGUUCGUCUCAACCCUACGGUUUGCCCGCCCAUCCCAUUCUCUGUCCGUCCAUCCCAGUCUUCUGGGCUCUUUGUCCUUCACACCCCUCUUGGCCCUGUAUCUCUCGCCCCCCUCCAGCGCCCUCCUCCCCGCGCAAACCCGAGCCCUACCUCGCUGCCGGCGGGGCCCUCCCCGGCUCGGCUCGGCUCAGUCCGGCUCGGCUCGGUCCGGCUCGGCUCAGCCCGGCUCGGCUCAGUCCGGCUCGGCUCAGUCCGGCUCGGCUCAGUCCGGCUCGGCUCAGCCCGGCUCGGCUCAGCCCGGCCCGGCUCGGCUCAGCUCAGCUCAGCUCCGCGGCGGGGCGGGGGAAGCGUCGGGCUCGCUACGCCCCCCAGACCCGGCCCCGUCCUUCUCCGCUCCUUCCCUGCACGGGACGGGCCUCCAGGCGGGGGUCGCCCCCCGGCCCCAUCGCCCCUGGCCCGGGAACCGCCCCGGGGAGCCGGCAGAGUCUCUGCGGUCCAGCCCCCCCCGGUGCCGGCGCCCAAAGCCUUCCCGGCGGAGACACCCGCGGCUGGGUCCGUGUCGGGGCUGGGUUCCCGCCCCGUUACUCACUUGUUUACUCCAGUGAGUCCCUGCCCGGGCGCUUGGGGCAGGGGGUCCGGCCGUGCCGCCCCUCCAGCGGGACCCGCACCGCGGUGGGGUCCAACAGAGGGGGCGUCCCCGCCGAGCCCCGCAGCGACCCCGGGACCCGAGAAGGGAGAGGAAGCUGCGGCUCCGGGCGCUGGUGUGGCCGAGGGCCAGGGUCCCCGGCCGUCCCUGCCCUGGGGAGGGAUUCGCUCCCGGGGGUUUUCCCGGCCCGACAGCUCCCAGCUAAGGAUGUCGCUGCGCUGUCCAAACCCGAGACCAGCUGGGGUGGCACGUCCCCAGGCACUGUUCCCUCCCACGGUCUCAGGACGCGAUAGCCUCCGUUGCUUCUCCUCGUGCUCCGCCGAGGAGGGCAGAGCUCGGCUCUGGCCGCGGCGUCUUCCUCAGCUCCGAAGAGCUGGGAGCACCUGAGCCCACGGGGGACGCGGGGACAUCCCGUCAAGGCAAGGGGUACAGCGGCUCGGCGCUCAGCUUGAUGGCCAGGCAGGUUUUCCUGGCAUUGGCUGCUAGGCAGUGAGGGGGCUACAAAGCCCAUCAUCCCGCUAUCCCUUGGCUUGGAGCAAAGAGAAAGCCCGGGCGGAAGGCAGGGCCAGCCCGCAGCAGUGGAUUGCGGCUCUGUGUGCGGGGAGCACGAGUGGCCCCACCGCCAGCGAAACGCGCGGGGCUCGGCAGCCGCUGCUGUCCCGGGUGGGGCCGGGUGUGUCCGGGAGCAGCUGCGCUCACGGAUGAUGGGACACGGGCCAGCUCCACCGACUGCCCCGCCCGGGUAUUAAACAGUCGUUUCCCCCUGCACAGCUCAGGGCUACACCUGCAGCUUCCCCCAAAACGUAGGGGAGAUGUGGGUUAGGGGCAGUGAGAGCAGCCAGAUCAGGGUAAAGGUGUUAGGGGCUUCAGACGGAUCCAGUCCCUGAUCUGGCCCUGGCACAUACCCAGAGGCUGCAGCAGCUCUCGGGGCUCAGGCUCCUGUGCCUGUUCAGUGACCCCAUCCAGGGCCUGGAGUCAGACGUGCAGGGAAAUGCAGUGCUUGGAACAGGACAAGCUCUUGCUGUUCCGGCUAGAGAUACAGUGGGACGUUUUGGGGGGAAUUCCCCCACAUCUCUGUAUGCCCAGGAAGGAAAGGGAUGGGCUAUGGGGAGGGAGGCUCUGCCUGGCAGCUGCGCAGGGUGGCCAC